rnacentral:rRNA from 1 species
GACGAACGCUGGCGGCGUGCUUAACACAUGCAAGUCGAACGAUGAUGCCCAGCUUGCUGGGUGGAUUAGUGGCGAACGGGUGAGUAACACGUGAGUAACCUGCCCCUGACUCUGGGAUAAGCGUUGGAAACGACGUCUAAUACUGGAUAUGACUGCCGGCCGCAUGGUCUGGUGGUGGAAAGAUUUUUUGGUUGGGGAUGGACUCGCGGCCUAUCAGCUUGUUGGUGAGGUAAUGGCUCACCAAGGCGACGACGGGUAGCCGGCCUGAGAGGGUGACCGGCCACACUGGGACUGAGACACGGCCCAGACUCCUACGGGAGGCAGCAGUGGGGAAUAUUGCACAAUGGGCGAAAGCCUGAUGCAGCAACGCCGCGUGAGGGAUGACGGCCUUCGGGUUGUAAACCUCUUUUAGUAGGGAAGAAGCGAAAGUGACGGUACCUGCAGAAAAAGCACCGGCUAACUACGUGCCAGCAGCCGCGGUAAUACGUAGGGUGCAAGCGUUGUCCGGAAUUAUUGGGCGUAAAGAGCUCGUAGGCGGUUUGUCGCGUCUGCUGUGAAAUCCCGAGGCUCAACCUCGGGCUUGCAGUGGGUACGGGCAGACUAGAGUGCGGUAGGGGAGAUUGGAAUUCCUGGUGUAGCGGUGGAAUGCGCAGAUAUCAGGAGGAACACCGAUGGCGAAGGCAGAUCUCUGGGCCGUAACUGACGCUGAGGAGCGAAAGCAUGGGGAGCGAACAGGAUUAGAUACCCUGGUAGUCCAUGCCGUAAACGUUGGGCGCUAGAUGUAGGGACCUUUCCACGGUUUCUGUGUCGUAGCUAACGCAUUAAGCGCCCCGCCUGGGGAGUACGGCCGCAAGGCUAAAACUCAAAGGAAUUGACGGGGGCCCGCACAAGCGGCGGAGCAUGCGGAUUAAUUCGAUGCAACGCGAAGAACCUUACCAAGGCUUGACAUACACCGGAAACGGCCAGAGAUGGUCGCCCCCUUGUGGUCGGUGUACAGGUGGUGCAUGGUUGUCGUCAGCUCGUGUCGUGAGAUGUUGGGUUAAGUCCCGCAACGAGCGCAACCCUCGUUCUAUGUUGCCAGCGCGUUAUGGCGGGGACUCAUAGGAGACUGCCGGGGUCAACUCGGAGGAAGGUGGGGAUGACGUCAAAUCAUCAUGCCCCUUAUGUCUUGGGCUUCACGCAUGCUACAAUGGCCGGUACAAAGGGCUGCGAUACCGUAAGGUGGAGCGAAUCCCAAAAAGCCGGUCUCAGUUCGGAUUGAGGUCUGCAACUCGACCUCAUGAAGUCGGAGUCGCUAGUAAUCGCAGAUCAGCAACGCUGCGGUGAAUACGUUCCCGGGCCU